CACGCCGGCCCUCGUGAUUUGUCCGGCCGGAUUGCGGCGAGGUGAAACAAGCGCGCUAAAGAGGCCAGCGGGGAAGCAUG
rfam:Acetobacteraceae bacterium SCN 69-10 ABS99_C0081, whole genome shotgun sequence.